AAUUAUUAAAGGGCCGCGGUAUUUUGACUGUGCAAAGGUAGCAUAAUCAUUUGUCUCUUAAUUGGAGGCUGGAAUGAAUGGUUGAAUGAAAUAUUAACUGUCUCAUUUUUAAAAUUUUAAAAACUUAGCUUUUAAGUCAAAAGGCUUAAAUGAAUUUAGAGGACGAGAAGACCCUAUAGAUCUUUAUAAUUUAUUUAAUUUUAUAAAGUAGAAAAAUAAUUAAUAAAAUUAAUAUAAUUAUUUUAUUGGGGUGAUAGGAAAAUUUAAUAAACUUUUUUUAUUUAUUAACAUUGAUUUAUGAUUAAUUGAUCCAUUUUUAGUGAUUAUAAGAUUAAGUUACCUUAGGGAUAACAGCGUAAUUUUUUUAG
rnacentral:rRNA from 1 species